GCACAUAGGAGGAUUUCAAUUACUCUCCUGUCCCUCCUUCUAGUGGAGUCAUGAGACCAGUGGGCUGUGUGGGUUGUGGGUGAAAAGCUUAUAUUUUUUCCAGGCCGUUUCCAUAGAGAAAUUCCAGUAAUGGUGUCUGGGUGGCAGCCUCAUUGGAGUAUGUGGCCAGCCUCCCAAGGUGACAUCUUUGAAGGCCAGCACUCAUCUGGAUUCAUAAGGUUAAAGACUCUCGUGAAUGCACCAUUUCUCACAGACCUUGUAUAAUUUCCUGUGGCUGCUUCAACCAAGUACCACAAUAUGGGUGGCUUAAAAGCAACAAAAAUAUAUUCCCUCACAGUUCUGGAGGCCAGAAGUUCAAAAUCAAGGUGUUGGCAGGACUGUGCGCUCUCAAAGUUUCCAGGAGAGAAUCCCAUACUAUGCCAUCCAGGAUGAGCUCAUCUUUAACUUGGUGACAUCUACAGAGACCCUGUUUCCAA